rnacentral:rRNA from 1 species
GGGUUGUGAGGUUAAGCGACUAAGCGUACACGGUGGAUGCCUAGGCAGUCAGAGGCGAUGAAGGGCGUGCAAAUCUGCGAAAAGCGUCGGCAAGGCGAUAUGAGCCGUAAUACCCGACGAUACCCGAAUGGGGAAACCCAG